CAACCCUCAAGCCCUGCUUGGUGUUGGGGACCGGCUCAGCGGGUGCGGGCUUCGGCCCGUCCCGUGCCGCCCCCGAAAUGGAUCGGCGGUCUCGUCGCAGCCUUCUUUGCGUAGUAACAUACCACCUCGCAACAGGAGCGCGGCGCGGCCACUGCCGUAAAACGCCCAACUUUUUAGAG
rnacentral:misc_RNA from 1 species